CAUAGAUCAAUGUUCUUUGAAGAGGGACAAUAAAACACAAACCACAAAUUAUUUAUUUGUAAUCAUCCAGAGGACUACAUCAUAACAGAAUGGAAACAAUAUAGUUUUUCCUUUUUGAUAUUCUAUUGGGUCUAAAAUAAUUGUCAAGUGAACCUUUUUGAUAUUCUUCCUUUUCAUCUUUCAGUUUUUUUCUCUUCCUUUUCUCACUACCAGAUAAACA
rnacentral:lncRNA from 1 species